rnacentral:RNase_P_RNA from 1 species
GGAGUCGGCCAGGCAAUCGCUGCAGGUCAGCAAUCUGCAGAGGAAAGUCCGGGCUCCAUCGGACAGGGCGCCAGGUAACGCCUGGGGGGCGCGAGCCCACGGAAAGUGCCACAGAAAAUAUACCGCCGGCAUGCCGGUAAGGGUGAAAAGGUGCGGUAAGAGCGCACCGCGCGACUGGUAACAGUUCGCGGCACGGUAAACCCCGCCUGGAGCAAGACCAAAUAGGGAAGCAGGGCUCUGGCCCACCGCCGGUUCCGAGCGGGCUUCCGGGUAGGUUGCACGAGGCAGUCGGUGACGGCUGUCCCAGAUGAAUGAUUGUCCACGACAGAACCCGGCUUAUCGUCGGCUCCUGGU